rnacentral:tRNA from 1 species
GCCGAUGUAGCUCAGUUGGUAGAGCAAUGCUUUCGUAAAGCAUAGGUCGUCAGUUCGAGUCUGACCAUCGGCUCCA